rnacentral:rRNA from 1 species
UACGUAGGUGGCAAGCGUUGUCCGGAUUUAUUGGGCGUAAAGAGCGCGCAGGCGGUAUGACAAGUCAGAUGUGAAAGAGGCCGGCUUAACCGGCAAGGGUCAUUUGAAACUGUCAGACUAGAGUGCAGCAGAGGAUAGUGGAAUUCCCGGUGUAGUGGUGAAAUGCGUAGAUAUCGGGAGGAACACCAGUGGCGAAGGCGACUAUCUGGGCUGCAACUGACGCUGAGGCGCGAAGGCUAGGGUAGCAAACAGG